AUUGAACGCUGGCGGCAUGCCUUACACAUGCAAGUCGAACGGCAGCGGGGACUUCGGUCCGCCGGCGAGUGGCGAACGGGUGAGUAAUGUAUCGGAACGUACCUUUCAGUGGGGGAUAACGUAGCGAAAGUUACGCUAAUACCGCAUAUUCUCUGAGGAGGAAAGCAGGGGACCUUCGGGCCUUGUGCUGAUGGAGCGGCCGAUAUCAGAUUAGCUAGUUGGUGAGGUAAAGGCUCACCAAGGCGACGAUCUGUAGCGGGUCUGAGAGGAUGAUCCGCCACACUGGGACUGGGACACGGCCCAGACUCCUGCGGGAGGCAGCAGUGGGGAAUUUUGGACAAUGGGCGCAAGCCUGAUCCAGCCAUGCCGCGUGAGUGAAGAAGGCCUUCGGGUUGUAAAGCUCUUUCGGACGGGAAGAAAUUGGUGGGGCUAAUAUCCCCAUCGGAUGACGGUACCGUAAUAAGAAGCACCGGCUAACUACGUGCCAGCAGCCGCCGUAACAC
rnacentral:rRNA from 1 species